CUGCGCGAGAUCUUCCCCGACAUCGAGCGCGCGCGCCUCAAGCGCACCUCCUCCGCCGUGUGGCGCACGCCGCCGCGCCUGCCGCCCGUGCGCGAGUGACGACGUACAAUAUAUACAAAAGUCGCUGGCGGCGAACUGUAAAUACUAUAUUUAGUGUUACUUUGUUAACGAUGUUACUGUGUUAAUGUAUUAAGUGCGAUCAUGAACUACGCUCGUCUGUUGCUCCCAAUAAACGUAUUUAAUAUUGGUUUUA